ensembl:piRNA 21ur-11888 ncRNA
UUUGGUCGAUCGCUAAAAUCG